AGAAAAAGGCGUGUAAUUGCAACUUUGUCCUUAUGUACGCGCUGCGUGACUUUUCUAGACCCAAAAUCACUGUUAACUCUCCUCUCCCUAGAACUCUCCGUCCAUUUCAAACCCUAGAAUUCUAUCUCUUUGUUUCGUCCAAAUCGUUCAAUCGUCCAAAUCUCUCCGUCCAAAUCGUUCAACCGUUGAAAGAGCUUCGAUCUGGUUCCUUCCAACUCCCCUCGUGCGAAAGUUUCAACCCCGAUCUACAGAGAGAUAAAAGAUGGCAGAUGAGAGAGAGGACGCCGACAUCGUACUGUGCUUGAAGUUCUACAUUCAUUUCGAUCGUCAAUUGUGCAAGUAACCUGCGAUUGCCAAACAUACUCCUGCGCCAAUCCAACCACCACGAGCGUAGUAGGUAACCAAACUCGGAGCCACCACUAUGAUGAUGAUGAUGAUGAUGAUGAAACCUGGUAGAUCGAGCCAAUCUGCAGAAAUAAAGCAAGUAUUAGGUAUGAUCGAGCUAUGAUCAUCAAAUAUAUCCAUCCAAAUAAGCAAAGUAGAAGUCGUAAUUUAUGCUUCAAUGUUAGUAAGUGCAUAUGGCUUACAAUUUAACUAAAUAAUAAACAGGACAUUUCUUUGCUUGUAAUUGCAGCACUGCCAAAAAGAGUUGAAUUUAAGCUAGGUAGUAAAAUUUAGAGUAAGUCACUCUUUUUGUAAAUGUCAGAUUGAGACAUGAUCAUUGAUUAGUCAACUGGGUGGUAGAAAUUAAAAAACAAAAAUUGAACUCCAGAUUGUUGUGUACUUGACACUUUUCAGUUCAAAAUAUGUCUAGAAAACUUUCUAGAGUAAUCCGAUUGAAAUAAUACGGAAUCAGAUAGUUCAUUAUGCAUUCAUUAAGUGUCUUGGAGAUUAAUUUGAGUCAACCAUGAGUCUAGGAGGUAGGGUAAAUAUAAGAGAUGAAUUCUUCUAACAAUGUUGAGACUUUCUACCAGUGUUUAGUAAAGGUCUGACAAACAUUGCUUGUAUAAGUUAUGAUUCGAAUUUGUUGAUUUGGAGUCAAAUUGGUUCAGAUUAUUUGGAAUUCACAAUAUGUUUAUUUGUUUGAUUUUCCUGUAUUUGAAUCCCAGUGCAUUAGGAAUAACGGUGGGAGUAAUUCCAUGGACUACCCUUUUCUUGUUCACAAGAAAAUUGUUUGCAAAAUACACAUUUGAGUUUUGCAACAGAAUAGUGUCAACAACUGAUAGAUUCUUAUUUUUAUGAAAUGAUACCUAAAUCUUCAUUUCAUUUCAUUAGUUUUUGAUUAAGAGAACAAUGUUCUUCUACAGUUUCCAAAUAAGGAAAUAAAUUUACUUUAUAAUGUAACAAGUAAGAAAUUGUAUAAUUAAAGUUUGAUAGCGAUGGAAAUUUGUCAUGAUUCUAGCAUUUUGUAUAUGUUUAUGAUUUAACUUGCUGUCAAAUAAUUGAGUGCAAUGAGUCUCAAAUUGUUCAAAAACUUUACCCAAAUCUGUAAGAGAAAUAUUCCGUCUGUCCGGAAUUGAUAGAAUCUUGUGAAGUUUUCCUACAGCUCUUUUACCAAGACAUUGUUUCAUGGGCAUCAAGGAACAUGGGUGGAGCCUGGUGUGAUUCACUGUUCUAAAUAUCAUUUUGUCCUGCUUUUAUCAAUCUGACAUUUACAAAAAGCUAGGCAUCAAGGAAUUUUGUGAAUUAGAUUCCUUUUACCUUUGUGAAGAUAUUGAUCUACCACUAUGAUAAAUGGUUUGUGCAUAUCAAACGAUCAGACUAAAUGUAUAACCAAAAGUCUCCUCUUUCAGUAUUUACUAGUAUUUCUUAUAUUGCCAAUCUUUAUGGUCGUUCGUUUAUGUUUUGACAAGUGUUCAUGACAGUUCCUUUGAUUUUAUGGACUCUAACUUGUGUUGUGACACCAAAUGGAUGAGCGGUUUUGACAUGGCACCUCCUGCUUCUGCAAUGUUAACUUCAGCUGCAGGCUGCUUGAGGACAUAGUCCAGACAUCCAUAAAUACUGGUCCUCGUGGAGCCUUAAGACUAGCUCAAGGAGUACAAGCAGUUGCUGGGGUUGGUAGUGAGUGGCUAACUGAUGUAUCAAAGUGGACAAAUACAUCAGCUGGUUUACCUCCAGAAUUACAGUUGGGAUUGCUUUCUCCCUUGUACCCAAGGAAAUUGGUUGAACGCCUAGGGGCAACUCUGCAUUACCACAUUCAAAGGCUAAAUUUUUGAUUGUUAUUGAAUAUUCAGAAGAAUGGAGUUCACGGAUGCUUAUAAGCAGACUGGGCCCUGCUGUUUUCCUCCCAAUGCUUGCUACAUUGCUGCAGUUGAUUAUCGUCUGGUGAUUCGAGACACUCGGUCAUUUAAGGUGCUAUAGUUGUCAAUUUGCUAUUUUUUUGCUUUCUACUUAUUAUCUCUAGACUUAUGUACUGGAAUGUUAGUUUCUCGUUCCCGCAGACUGUUUCUUUGGCUCUAUUCUGAGUUCUGAUCACUUUGUACUUCUUCAUUAAAGGUUAAACAAAUUGUAAGGAUACUUAGAAUUAGAACUGUACUUCUUUAACCUUUUAUGGUGUUUCUUGUUUGGA